AACGUAGGAGACAAACGUUAUCCGGAGUUACUGGGCGUAAAGGGCGUGUAGGCGGUUGGUUAAGUCUGGCGUGAAAGCUCUCGGCUAAACCGGGAGAGGUCGUUGGAUACUGGCCGACUAGAGGACGGUAGAGGCGUGUGGAAUUCCGGGUGUAGUGGUGAAAUGCGUAGAGAUCCGGAGGAACACCAGUGGCGAAGGCGACACGCUGGGCCGUACCUGACGCUGAGGGACGAAAGCUAGGGGAGCGAAUGGG
rnacentral:rRNA from 1 species